CUCCCUGCCCCCCCAACACCGAAGGGAAGAGACAAUUCUCCUCCGAGCAGCAGCAAACAUGAUGGCGGCAGCUCCCAUCCAGCAGAACGGGACUCACACCGGGGUUCCCAUAGACCUGGACCCGCCGGACUCCCGGAAAAGACCGCUGGAAGCCCCCCCCGAAGCGGGCAGCACCAAGAGGACCAACACGGGCGAGGAUGGCCAAUAUUUUCUAAAGGUCCUCAUACCUAGUUAUGCUGCUGGAUCUAUAAUUGGGAAGGGAGGACAGACAAUUGUUCAGUUGCAGAAAGAGACCGGGGCCACCAUCAAGCUGUCUAAAUCCAAAGAUUUUUACCCAGGUACUACGGAGCGCGUGUGUCUGAUCCAGGGAACAGUUGAAGCACUAAAUGCAGUUCAUGGCUUCAUUGCAGAGAAGAUUCGAGAAAUGCCUCAAAAUGUGGCCAAGACAGAGCCUGUCAGCAUCCUACAACCUCAGACCACUGUUAAUCCAGACCGCAUCAAACAAACAUUGCCAUCUUCCCCAACUACCACCAAGUCCUCUCCAUCUGAUCCCAUGACCACCUCCAGAGCCAAUCAGGUUUCUCUCUCCUUUAAUAGGACUGGUAUUUGCUGAGCCUGAGUGAAGGGUGUUUAAGUUUAAAUAGAGUGCAGAAGAGAGGAACUGAUUCUAAUGCCAACUCAACUUGAGAAGGUAAGAUGACCAAAAACUCUGAAAUUUUAAAAAUGCUUUUCUGCUACCUUAAAAAUCCCUCAGUCGUUACCUUUACAAAAGCAAAAUAAAAAGACUGUCUUUAUCUUAGGUCUCUGAAAACUAAUAGUUAAGUAUCAAAAGGAAACAAGCAGACCUAUAAUAUAACUGUAUAAAACAGAGAGUAAUCAUAUUCAUACCAAUUUAUUCCUUAAUAAGUUUCAACUAAUUUCAUGGUAGAUUAAUCUGAAUUUACUGCUCUGAAGUGAUAUAAAUAAGAACAUAGUUUAAUUCAUUCCUAAGUGAUCAAUUCAAAAUAAAAUUUUAAAAAAAGGCAUUUCUGGGAAUGAUUUGAAGUAUUUUUCCUCUUCAUAACUGUGCAAAUUCCUUGAGCUUUGUCCCCAGAAUCUCUGCAUCAGAUUGUCUUGACAUCUUUGCUAUUCUGGAUACUAUGAAGCACAGUCGUUCAUGGGAAAUGAGAAUCUUCUCCACAGUUAUUAGGUAAGAAAGCUGCUCUUGCCCUGAUUUUGGGUUUAAAUGUAGUAAUACAACACGGUAUAUUGCUUUGUUCAUUAAUUGGUUGUUAAGCAGAUUGUUUUAGUUGUCUCUUUGUAGAUAUAAAGCACUAUUUGCAAAGCAACAGUUUGUUCCAAGCAGAGCUGUCUGUCUUAGCAAUCAAAGCCUGCAAUCAUAUUUCUGCUCAUUUUGAAGGCUCACUGUGAAAUCUUUCAGGAAUUAGAACUGCACCUUCAGAUCUCUCUGUGGUCUGGUUUAAGCUAUCUUUGGGAUUAUCUCUUCCUCUGAAAUCCUGACAAGAGGUACAUUCAAAUAGAAAAGAAAUAUCAUCUGUCUCAGGAAUAAAUCCUACAUGUACUCAGAAGACAGUUUUACAGAGCCUAUCAAUCAAACAGUCAUGGGGGAGAAUUCAGACAUAACUAAGUAAACUUGAUGACCUUCUCUGUGCUGAAAAUACUGAUGAUGAACAUGCAACAUAUAAUGAAAUAAUAUGAAAAUAACUGUUUGAGCUGUCUUAAGCACCAAUAAUCAGAAGCUCUUCCAGAAGAUAAAGUAAGACACACUGUACAAUUUUAUAAUGGCGCUUAGUUAUGAGAACUACCAAUGUUUUUUUUUGUUUGUUUUUUGUUGUUUUUUUUUUUUUUUUUUGAAGCAUCUGGAAAGUAGAUAAACUGGGAAAGUGAGAAACUAGCUAUGUUUACUUUUUAUGGUGAACUCAGUAGAUAGUAGAAGAGUGACAGACAGUAAGGAAGACUUCAUUUAAAGCAGCUUGUAUAAUCCAUUUAAUUCUCUCCAUUUUGUGAGUUUUUUGCUGAAGGAGGGUUGAUUAGGGAGGGAGUAGGGUUGUUCAAGGAGCUGAGAGAAAGAAUAGUAAUCCCCAAGAGUUCCUGCAAAACUUGGUUUCAAAUAAAAUAGCAGUCAUCUAAAAAACAUUAGUAUAUUAUAUGUGUGUUACUGAUACUUCUGUUUGCUUCAUGUUCUAGGAGAUCAUUUCUUUUCUUACUCGCUUUAAAGACUUGUGGAAAAGAAGACAGAAAUCGGCUAAAAGAUCACCAGAAUAUUUCCACUCCUAAUGGAAACUUAUUUUUUGUUUUAGAGGAUCAGACAAGUGUCUAAGCCAAUGCAGAUUACUAUAUUUUUUCAUUUGCUGUAAGAACCUGGAACUUCUAUCCUAGAAACAUAAAAUGUGCAUGUGUGAAUGCAUACAGUGACACAUUUAUUGGUGUCAUAGCAAACAGGGUUAAAAUGCUGGUGAAGUAAACAGAAUAGUUUCAUUUUCCUUAGAUUUGUCUAUUAGAAAGUUGAAACCUUGAAAGAUAUUAAAAUUCAUUAAAUAAAACUUCUUAUUUAUGACAUCAUUUUGUCACAUUAUUGGAUAACAGUUGUUUGGUAUCUCUAAUGACUCAUCACUCUUUGCAAUAAAACUUCUCCAUGCUGAUACAGUAUAUCAUAUGAUCUACAAUUCCAUGAAGAAAAGAAAGAUACAUGAAUAUAAAAUCAACUUGAAUUUAAUUUCAGCUAAGGCAUUUUUAAUCCAAGAGUGAAGAGUUAGGUUUACAGUCGAUCUAAACUGCCCAGGCUUAAUUUUAAGGUGCUGUGGUUCACAAUGGUGUGAAAAAGAACUCUGCACAAUACGUUUACUUGUAGGUAAAAUCAACUGUUUCUUUGACUGGCUUUCUUUAACCACUGUGAGAAACUAAUUCAAACAAUCACCAAUUAGCUUUCUGGGAGAUGUAUAAAAUCAUAAGUAAAAACUCGGUCUUAAACAUAAUACUAUGAAUUAGACUACUUAGAAGAAAAUGUAUUUCCAUCAUUUUUUUUUCUUUUUAAAGAACAUGUUAGCUAGAAUUAGAAUAAUUCCCUAUCAAAUGCUUUUCCAAGUACUGCUGAUCGCAGUUUUAAGUAUCCCUCAUUUAUUUACAGCAGGUAUGUGUGCAUGAAAGCUAUUCCUUACUACUUAUAAGUGUUGAAUUGUGAGGGUUUCACUGAAACUCAGUGAGUGUGUGAACAUGACUAAUUCCCAGACUUCAGCCUUUUGUACACUUACGUUCUCCUCUGGCUGAAAGAGAUUAUUUUGUAUAAGCUCCAAUACCAUACUAAACUGAAAAAAUGAGACACAUGAGAUUCAUAGACUGUGAAGCAUUGGCUGCAUAGAUAGAAAAGCAGUAGCAGAAAAAUUCCAGUUGAGAUAACAAGAGAAAUUACUGAGAAUCUGGUUAGCCAGCAGCAGAAUAUUGUCUUAUAUUUCCAAUACACUGCAAAGUUCCAAUGUUCUCAAAAUCAGUGGAAUUGAAGACUCUAUAAACCUAGCUUUUAGGGCAUAAUGACAUUUUUUUUUUCUACAGAGAGAGUAAUCUUAAAACCAUAUUAGAACACAUAUCUGAUACAAAGAUCUUCAACUUUGUGCAUCUUGUUUUGUUACACUCUGGUUCCCAUGUUGUUGUGGGUGUUUACAGUUCUGGAAAUCUAUUUGAAGUUCGAAGAAAUUCUGGCUAGAAUAUUAGUGAGAUUAGGGGAAUAAAUCCACAAAUAACCAACCCAUCCUUCAUUUUUAAUAUAUAAAUAUGUAUAUAUGUAUAUAUAUAUACACAUUAAUAAUAGGCAAAGGAGAAAGAGAUUUUUUGCUGCUGAAACAGCUUUGGGUGUAGUGUGAGACCAUCAUGCAUUUUGACAAGUACAACCUGGAACAUCUAUCAAAUCGUCAUGUUUCCUGUCAUGAACACUGAAAUAAGUAUUGAAUAUUUUUAUGUUCAUUGAUAUGUAUCAAAAUUAUUUUAAAAUUUCUUAAUACUUUGUUUAAUCUUUCUUAGCAUCGAGUGAUAAUUCCUGUGAAUACAUCAGAUGCCAUUGCUUGCAAGAUAAAUGGGUUAAUCUAAAAAGUUGGCAGAUAUCUUUUCUAGAAAUUCCUGCCAGAGAUGUUAUAGAAAACUUGUGAUUUUUGAGCUAGUUGUUGGGAUCUAAUUUCUUACUUAGAAAUUUGUUUAAAAAGUGAAACUUUUAAUGCCACUCUUAAAAUGGUGUAGCUUUAAUUUUAACUUCAUGCAGAUUUUAAAGAAGUAAGCUGUCUGUGGAUAUGGUAUAACUAAAAGAUCAUACCCAGGACAUUACACAUUAAUUUCUUAUACUUGCAUCCAGUCAUACCUGUAUCAGUUUUGCCACUAACGUGCCGUUAUAUGUUGUAGGAAAUUCUAUCUUAAUAUUCAUACUGAAAAAUGUAGGCUGCUUCUUCUGUCAUUAUUAUACAAAGCAUUUUAUAAAUUAAGAAUUCACAUUUCCAGUCUACUCAAUCAGUUAUCAAGUUUGAGAUCUACUUUGUUGUAGCUCAAAGAUGCAUGACAAUGUAAUCUUUGUCAUGCCUUUAUGUCUUACUGAUUAGAAAAAUAAAAACAUUUUGAUAUUAUAGAAUCUUCAAAUAAUGUUUGCUAUAAAGGAACAUAAUUUUAAGAGGACAGAAUACAAAUAGGUCUGUCAUUGGUGAAGUGGACUUAACCCCAUUAAUAUUGUGAUGCUGCUACUCAUACUAAUAAUUGACUGCCUUCUCUGAUAGGCUUAAAAGACGAUGUGAAUGUAUGAGAAUUAAUCACUAGAUGUGUACUCUGUGACAUUAGAAAAAUGUCUUUAAAUGAUAAUAGAACAAGUAUUUAAAUAAUUGUGGAAUUUUUGCCUUUGUGACUGGAGCAAAUUAAGUUUGACUGGAAAAUCCCUUAAGAUCAGCCAUCAUGUUACUACAAAGAGUUGCAGAAAAAAGAACAUUUACUUGCUUGUAGUCUCUCAAGAUGUCUUAAAUGUCAAAUAUUGGACUUAGGGGUUUUGUUUGUUUGUUUGUUUGUUUGUUUUUGUUUUUUUUUUAAUCAUUCUCACUGUGGCAUACUCUAGCUUUUAUUCAUCGGACCUUUGUUAACAUUUUCAGUUUUCCUGACUGUAAGUGGAGGUGCUGUCUAACUAUUAACACGUUCCUCUUUUUGAACAGCAAUUUCUUGCUCACUCUAGGUUAACGUUACUCUAAGAAUAACGGUACAAAAGUAAUUACUAGGUUAUUAAUUUAACAAAAUCUUCAUUUUUAAUUUAAUUGCUUUAAUUUUCAGAAUAAAGGCAUAGAGUUGACACUCAAUUUUAACAUUAAAAAACAAAACAGCAACAACAACCAACAAUAAACUACAGGCCAGGCACUUCAUAAAUCUAACAUAUUAUUGUUAUUAUCAUAUGAAGGUCAAGUAAAUUUAUAAAUCAAUAAGGCACUGUACUGAAGUUUGAUUUUUUAUGCAUAACUAUAUCUACAGAUGUGAUGGACUGCAGUUUAGGCACACUGGUUGUGGGGAGAAUUUUUAAAAUUUUCAAAAGUAAAAGCAAAGUAUAUCUGAGAUUUCUUUUUAUUUUUGAAAUCUGUUGUAUAGUUGUACUCUUUGUGCUUAUUUCAUGCCUUCAGCUCUAAAAAAAAUGCUUAUCCCAGUUAGCAUGAUUUUUUUUUCCGAUCAAUUAAAAGUAGAUGAGGAUACUCUGAAUCAGUGACAGGAAACUAAAAUAUUCGUUCAGAGCAUGCCUGUGCUCUAUAUGAAAAUGCUUUAAUAUUUAGAGAAUUUUCAUUGUGGGUUUUGAGAAUUUCAUUGUGGGUUUUGAGAAUUCUCUCUUCUAAAUAUACUGGGGUUAAAUUUAACACUUUCUUUCUAUACAACAAAAUGUGAUUAAUUGAAAUAUUCUGAUUUGCAUUCUGAAAUUCAAUUCCUUAAAUGAAAAUAAGCAGAAUACUAAGCACUGAAAUGUUUCAUUACGUAGAUUAAUUCAUGUUGUUGUCCAAAAACUAUAAAUGAGUUACAUAUGAAAAUAAGGGUUAUAGCCACAGUAGAAAAUAAAAUUAAAAAAAAAAAAAAUCUUGGAAAAAAAUUGUCACCCUUAAAAGACAUGUGUGUGCAUGUAUUUGAGAGAAAGAGAGGGAGUAUGUGAGUGUAAGAAAAUGAGAUUUAAUGAACUUAAAUUGCAAAGGGCACAUCAUCAUCAUCUGGUUGUCACAUCACAGGACAGUAAAGAGGUGGACAGUCAUUUUCUUGUCCAGUCAAAAAUUAUUGAAGGAAUUAUUAAAAAGAAAAGUACGAAAACUUUCUCUGUAUUUUUGAGAGUAAAAUCAUUCUUUUUAUGAAGACUUCUCUAUCCCGGUACCUGACAUUAAGAAAACAAUAAGAUCAAAUAAUAAUAAAAAUUAUUAAUUUUUUGUAUAGGCACUUGAUAAAAGGCUGCAUAUUCAUGUUUCAAGUAACUCCUGGAGAGCAAACAGAGAGAAUGUACAUCUCAGAAAGAUAAGCAGCUUUUCUAUAUUCUAUAUACCAGUAAUAAUAAAUAACAAAAGUAGUAGUAAAAAAGGGUGAAAUUCCAAGGUUUGAAUUUUACAGAAAUUCUGUAAAAUUUUACAGAAAUCUGACUCAGCUCAGUCAGAUAAAGUUACUAAAGUGGAUUUUUUCACUUGGCUGCAAAAAAUCUAUUUUCUAUAUUUAGGAAAAAGAAACAAAACUGAAUUCUGAUGUUAAGUGACACUUUUGACAAACAAAAGCAUCAAGUUUUUCCAUUAGUAUUGCUUAUUGAUUAUUGAACAUACAUUACAUUUUGGGGCAAUAUUGGUUAUAUACAUAGUGGUCAGUGGUGUUGAAUUAUGAAUCUAAAUAGUAUAUUACAGAUAUUAUAAAAUGCUUCGUUUUUUUUUUUUUUUUUCAUUACCUUCCAAUCCAUUAAAGUUUUGGUGAAUAAAAACACUUCCUAGUCUUCCCUAGGAUCUGAAAAUAUUCAGGAACUCCUGCUCUUGGUGAAGAUGUGGACACGAUGAGGGAAGAACCUCCUGUGUCCUGGCAGAAUGAAUGCCAUGUAGAAAUUUCAGCUCUACAUUUCCUGACUUGGGGUGACCUUUGAGGAGCUAUAGAGAGUAUUGGGUCAGACAGCAUAGAAAUAUAAAUAAAAUCAAUGAGAAUUCUGGUGAAAACAUCGUUUUGCUGUCCUAGAAAAUUGUACCUCCAUUCAAGUUGAAGUAUUUUGUUUCACUGUUAACUGAAGAGAGCAAAUUUUUUUCUUAUAUUAAUAUAAUAAAUUUCAAAUCAUAAACAAUAUUCUAAACUAAAGAAUAACAGCAGUAGAACUUCUAGUAAAAGCUUUUAUAGUUACUAUUUGUGUUGAUGCUUAUUUGUACCUUACUGAACCUUUGUAUACUGCCUGAGUUUUAGAACAGUUUUCUUGAGAAAACUUUUCACACCAACACUUGCAUCAGUGCUAUAACAGUCUCCUUGAGUUCUUUGACAAGAAAGUGGACUAUAAUAUCUUCUAUCAAGCUAACCUGAACCUUGUGCUACACCUUGACUUCAGUUUUCCCAAGAACUUUUUGCAUCCAACAUUAAUGGUGUCUGAACUAAAUGUCUUGACAGCAGAGCACAACUUAGUUGACUGAAGAUAGAAUCAAAGUUCUUGAAACAGAAUGACAUUUUGGCAAUGUGUGAUGGUGUUAAAACUUGUUCUACUCUGAAAUGUAUGCUCAAGUCGUUCAGAUUGUGUCUACUUUACUUGCUUGAAGUCCACCACAAAAAGAUAGUACAUAGUUUAGUGUUGAUGUUAGUCCUAUUAUCUCUUUCAAAGGGCUGAUUUUGUUACUAGUAUGAGAUUACUGUGUGUUUUAUCAUUUCAAAAUGUUGGUAGAGGGAGAAAAACAAAGCUAUGCCAUCUUACUGAAAAGAUUUUCUCUUGAAGCAGACCAAAAUUAACAAUUCAAGUAGUAGGAAUUCCAGCCCUCUGCUUUUGAUUUGUUUUGUGACAGUAAGGAUACCCAGCAUGGGAUGAGUACAAGAACAACAUAUUUUUGUAAUCAAAAUAUAGCUGGAAGGUUUUGCAUCAUUAUUUUCUCAGCAUAUUUUCAAAGGUACUCUUCAGUGAAAAUUAUGUUGCUCGUUUGUUUGUUUUUGUAGCCAUGCAAAAUAUUCCUGCCAUAGUUCUGAUGUAUAGCUUGUAAAGUCCCUGAAGUGAAGCAGCAAUAGCCAUUACAGUGCUACAGAUCUGCUUUGCAUUUGUAAUGUGUGCACAUAAUGCAUUUGAACUGCUGGCAAAACUACCUCACAGUAGUACUGCGGAAUGCCUCUUAAAUUAGGACUGUUCCACAGGUCUGCAGCAGUUUUCUUGUGGUGCUAAGUUAGUUCAUUCUUGUAGACAUGGACAGUAAUCUGAAUCACUCUUACUGCAAACUGAGUUAUAGAUAAAGUCUCCCCAGUAGUUGAAAGGAACAGCAUAGUUGUGCAAAGAAAUGUUGAUGGCAUUUAUUUUCAAAUCAAGAAUUUUACUUCUUAGCACUCCUAGAUAUGUAAAAUACAUUCUCUAAUUUGGACUUCAUUAUCAAGAAGAAUAUUUGAGUAGAUCACCUUCAAAAUAUUUCACAGUUAUAUUUUACACGAUUUGUCAUACAAUUAGUAGUAGUAACAUUGUUUCAAUUCAGAAAAUCACAUCUAAUAUUCUAGAAAGUAUAACUGUCAGUUACAAAAAGGAAACUCUAUCCUUUUAAAUUGUGAAUAACUACAGAUAAUUCAAACAUAAAUAGGAUGAUAUAGGAGAAUACUGUAAUGGAACACUACUAAUAUUUUUUUUAAAUGAAGGGUCUUGGCAUAGUUGUUUAUUUUCAACAUUUUCAAAUGUUAAUGUAAUAAUAUUUUAUUAGCAAUGUAAAAAUCAAAAUAGAUAAACUAUAUGUACAGUAAAUGGGAAUAUCAACUGUAGUGAAAAAAAUAUUAUGCAGAUAAUUAAAUUGCAUAAGCAACUAAGACAUUAUCAGUAUGAGAUGUAACUGCCUACUACUUUUAUGGCUGAGUGUAAAGUAAGAAGAUAACAAGAAUAUGAAAUAAAUUGAAUAAAAAAAUAACAGAAAUUUGUGUAUAUUGUGAAAAAAGAUCCAGCUGUCAGAAUACAAAGAACCAUUGUCACAUAUCAGUUAAGAUUAAUCUGGAAGACACCUACUAGAUCCCAGUGUAAGAAAAAUAAAUUAUAUACUGCACAUUUUACCUAUACGUUUAUGAUGUGUUUUCCUAAAAGAAAAAUCCUAAUUUCUAGUGAGAAAUCGCCUUAUGAAUAAAUAUUGGGUGUAAAUGGAAAAUAACACUGAACUUUUGGGGUACAGAUGUGGUGUUGGGCAGUCCACAUGGGUUAUGUGUUCCCUUAUACAAAAGUCUUACCCUGUAAGUUUUAUUUGCACUGUGUAGGAAUCCUCUUAUUUCAUCCCAGUGAAGAAGCUGCAGUGCUAUCUUAGCACAAUACUGGAUCUACACUACGGUUUAUAGAUACGAUGUAGAUAACACAUAAUGUAAGGACUGUGCUACCACAUCUACAUUUGAUUUUAUUUGUGCUACCAUGACCACACUGAUCAUGAAGGCAUUUCAGAGGUAGCUGUAUAUUUUUCUUCAUUAAUUAGCCUAGAAAUGAAUUAUUUUACUGCAUUUACACUUAGUCCACUAGUGGAAAGACAAAGUCUUGAGAAAGUAGACCACAAAGAAAACAAAAGAAUUUAUGCAAACUCUUUAAGAAGACUAGAAACAGGGCAUGUGGAAAUACAAAGUAAAUUGUGUUCACAUAAAAUGUGAACACUGGCAGAUUGCUUUUUCUUCUUGCCAGUAAAACAUCAUUCUCAAAGUAAUGAGUUCUUUUAGGUAGCUGGGCAGUGAUGUGUUUAUCUUCUGACUUUACUUGUCAUAAAUAUCACUCUGGAUUUGUACAUUCUUCCACUGAUUUUUGAUUACAGAUUUGUACUUCUACCUGUGUUUUUAGGCAAAGUAAUAAUACUAUUAUUAAAAUAAUUUGCUAAAUAUUGUUGUGCUUCUAAUUAAGAAGUUAAUGAAUAUUUCUAUAAGUGAAAUGCUUAUGAAGAGGUCUGGUAUUUUCUUCUUUUUGGAUUAUUUUAAUAAAUCAAAAGAAGGAUGUAGGAACUGUACAUGUUUUAUCUAUUUCUCUAUAUAUAUGUAAAAAGAACAACUUUUCCCAUAUACACUGGAUUUAUUAUAUAUCUCCAAAGCAAUUUAAAAUGCACUGAAUUAUACUCCCGUUAAGGUUCUAGAAGAACUUUCAUAAUAAAUGUUGCUGUUGAAAUUUA